AGAAGCGGACCCGUGCACACAACUGCCUCUCACUGGGUGCAGAAGGUGAAGGUGGGGAUGGAAAAGCAUAUCAAGCAAAAUGUGGGUAGAGUCAGCAGUAAAAGAAAAAAUGCAUGCUGUCCUCUACUGUGCAAAGCAAGCAUAAUCGCUGACAUGAAGCAGUUUGCACUUCUGGGAGGAAAAAAAUAACCAACAAAGAUUCUUUACCAAUGACAAGAACAAACCUGGAGAAAAAAAAAAAAAAAGAAAAAAAAAA